UCCGAAAUAAUACACCUCAAGGACUUAUUGUCUCGAGUUGUGCCAAACGCGUCAGAACGGCAUGCUGAUGGGCAGAAUAAGCAGACAUAUGCCUCGGUGUCACACCUGAAAUUUUCUUCAUUUGGUGCAUCAUCUACUGGAGGCUCCUCGACAGCAAAGUUUUCCUCUGGUCCUAGGUUCGCAACAACUCCAAUGGAUCCAUCACCGUCUGCUCAUGGAAAUGGUCUGGUACGUCAGCCGGUGGAACAAGUCGGAAAUAACGAAUGGACGACAGUUCAAAGAAGGAAACGACCUGCCGCUGUGGGUGGAAAGAGCACUUCGAGCAAAACACAACUGCUGCAGAUGUAAAGGAUAUGGUUACCGACGCAGUGGGACACGAAUGUGUGACAGUAAGACAGCUGAAGACAAGGUAUUCUACCUACAGCUCUUUUCACAUAACAGUCAGUGCCAAUGAUUUUGAUAAAAUAAACUCGGAGGAACUUUGGCCGGAAGGCUCCAUAUUCAAACAGUUUCUGGGAAGACUAGACGAAUUGCGUAUUAUCGGUGGUAAUGACGAGGACAAAGAUGCUACCACGAGCGUUUAAUAUAUUUCAUGUUAAUAUUCGCAGCAUGAGAAAAAAUUUUGACUUGCUUGUUACUUUGUUAGCCACAUCUAAGGUUCAUUAUGACGUAAUCUGUCUUUCUGAGACAUGGCUCAAUGCCAGCGAGCAGUAUAAAUUACCUGGUUUUGCCUUUUUCUCGUCUCCAAGAAAGCACUUGUUAGGAACUGCAAGGGGUGGAGGAGUCGCACUUUUUGUAUCUGACAGGUUCUGUUGUGCUGUGAGAAAUGACAUUGACCUGUGGGUGCCUGAUUAUUGUGAAUCUAUGUUUAUUGAUGUCGUGGGUAUUGGGCUAGUUGGCUGCAUUUAUCGUUCACCCAGUUGCAGCUUGGAUGCGUUCCUCAGCAGGUUUGAGAAUGUGUUAUCUAAAAUACGCAGCCGUGAAUGUGUAUUUAUAGCAGGGGAUUUUAAUAUAAAUUUGUUACAUAAUCCA